AUCAACUUUCGAUGGUAGGAUAGAGGCCUACCAUGGUGGUAACGGGUAACGGGGUGUUAGGGCACGACACCGGAGAGGGAGCCUGAGAAACGGCUACCACAUCCAAGGAUGGCAGCGGGCGCGCAAAUUACCCAAUCCCGACACGGGGAGGUAGUGACAAUAAAUAACAAUACGGGGUUCUUUCGGAUCUCGUAAUUGGAAUGAGUACAAUUUAAAUCUCUUAACGAGGAACAAUUGGAGGGCAAGUCUGGUGCCAGCAGCCGCGGUAAUUCCAGCUCCAAUAGCGUAUAUUAAAGUUGUUGCAGUUAAAAAGCUCGUAGUUGAAUUUCGGGGUUAGUAGGUUGGUCAUGCCUCUGGUAUGUACUGGUCUCACUGAUUCCUCCUUCCUGAUGAACCUUAAUGCCAUUAAUUUGGUGUUUUGGGGAAUUUGGACUGUUACUUUGAAAAAAUUAGAGUGUUUAAAGCAAGCUAACGCUUGAAUACAUUAGCAUGGAAUAAUGAAAUAGGACGUUCGAUCCUAUUUUGUUGGUUUCUAGGAUUGACGUAAUGAUUAAUAGGGAUAGUUGGGGGCAUUAGUAUUCAAUUGUCAGAGGUGAAAUUCUUGGAUUUAUUGAAGACUAACUACUGCGAAAGCAUUUGCCAAGGAUGUUUUCAUUAAUCAAGAACGAAAGUUAGGGGAUCGAAGACGAUCAGAUACCGUCGUAGUCUUAACCAUAAACUAUGCCGACUAGGGAUCGGAUGAUGUUAAUUUUUUAAUGACUCAUUCGGCGCCUUACGGGAAACCAAAGUGUUUGGGUUC
rnacentral:rRNA from 1 species